rnacentral:rRNA from 1 species
UGAAUACGAGACGCUAAGGCGUCGAAGUAGUGUAUGUCAUACUUCCAAGAAAAGCUUGCACUGUCAUAGAUAAAAAACGCCUGUACCAUAACCGACACAGGUGGGUAGGUAGAGUAUACUAAGGGGCGCGAGAUAACUCUCUCUAAGGAACUCGGCAAAAUAACUCCGUAACUUCGGGAGAAGGAGUGCCUUAUUAUUAAGGCUGCAAUAACAAGAUCCAAGCAACUGUUUAUCAAAAACACAGGUCUCCGCUAAGUCGUAAGACGAUGUAUGGGGGCUGACGCCUGCCCGGUGCCAGAAGGUUAAAGAAGUUGGUUAGCAUUUGCGAAGCUGAUAACUGAAGCCCUGGUGAACGGCGGCCGUAACUAUAACGGUCCUAAGGUAGCGAAAUUCCUUGUCGGGUAAGUUCCGACCCGCACGAAAGGCGUAAUGAUUUGGAUACUGUCUCGGAGAGGGGCUCGGUGAAAUAGACUUGUCUGUAAAGAUGCGGACUACCUGCACCAGGACAGAAAGACCCUAUGAAGCUUUACUGUAACUUGAAAUUGAAAUUGGACUUUAUUCGCGCAGCAUAGGUGGGAGGCGUUGAUUAUAAUCUUGUGGGAUUAUUGGAGCCAUCAGUGAGAUACCACUCUUGUAAUGUUAGAUUUCUAACUUUGAAUCAUUAUCUGGUCAAAGAACAGUUUCAGGCGGGCAGUUUGACUGGGGCGGUCGCCUCCUAAACGGUAACGGAGGCGUACAAAGGUUUCCUCUGAACGGUUAGAAAUCGUAUCUAGAGUGUAAAGGCAUAAGGAAGCUUGACUGUGAGACCUACAAGUCGAGCAGGGACGAAAGUCGGUCUUAGUGAUCUGACGGUACUGAGUGGAAAGGCCGUCACUCAACGGAUAAAAGUUACUCUAAGGAUAACAGGCUGAUCUCCCCCAAGAGUUCACAUCGACGGGGAGGUUUGGCACCUCGAUGUCGGCUCAUCGCAUCCUGGGGCGGUAGUACGUCCCAAGGGUUGGGCUGUUCGCCCAUGAAAGCGGUACGCGAGCUGGGUUCAGAACGUCGUGAGACAGUUCGGUCCAUAUCCGGUGUAGGCGUUAGAAUAUUGAGAGGAGCCUUCUUUAGUACGAGAGGACCGAGAAGGACAUACCUCUGGUGUACCAGUUAUCGUGCCAACGGUAAACGCUGGGUAGCUAUGUAUGGAGUGGAUAACCGCUGAAAGCAUCUAAGUGGGAAGCCCACCUCAAGAUAAG